UACGAAGGGGGCUAGCGUUGUUCGGAAUUACUGGGCGUAAAGCGCACGCAGGCGGAUUUAUAAGUCAGGGGUGAAAUCCCGGGGCUCAACCUCGGAACUGCCUUUGAUACUGCUGAUCUCGAGUCCGGAAGAGGUGAGUGGAAUUCCUAGUGUAGAGGUGAAAUUCGUAGAUAUUAGGAAGAACACCAGUGGCGAAGGCGGCUCACUGGUCCGGUACUGACGCUGAGGUGCGAAAGCGUGGGGAGCAAACAGG
rnacentral:rRNA from 1 species